rnacentral:rRNA from 1 species
UACGAAGGGGGCUAGCGUUGCUCGGAAUUACUGGGCGUAAAGGGCGCGUAGGCGGACAGUUAAGUUGGGGGUGAAAGCCCGGGGCUCAACCUCGGAACUGCCUUCAAUACUGGCUGUCUUGAGUACGGGAGAGGUGUGUGGAACUCCGAGUGUAGAGGUGAAAUUCGUAGAUAUUCGGAAGAACACCAGUGGCGAAGGCGACACACUGGCCCGUUACUGACGCUGAGGCACGAAAGCGUGGGGAGCAAACAGG